CAGCAGCCGCGGUAAAACGGAGGGUGCUAGCGUUAAUCGGAAUUACUGGGCGUAAAGCGCACGCAGGCGGUUUGUUAAGUCAGGUGUGAAAUCCCCGAGCUUGACUUGGGAACUGCAUUUGAAACUGGCAAGCUAGAGUCCUGUAGAGGGGGGUAGAAUUCCAGGUGUAGCGGUGAAAUGCGUAGAGAUCUGGAGGAAUACCGGUGGCGAAGGCGGCCCCCUGGACGAAGACUGACGCUCAGGUGCGAAAGCGUGGGGAGCAAACAGGAUUAGAUACCCCGGUAGUCCCUGUCUCUUAUAC
rnacentral:rRNA from 1 species